rnacentral:tRNA from 2 species
UGGAGAAUUACUCAAGUGGCUGAAGAGGCGCCCCUGCUAAGGGCGUAGGUCGGGCAACUGGCGCCCGGGUUCAAAUCCCGGAUUCUCCGCCAG